rnacentral:lncRNA from 1 species
GGCAUUUGUUUGUAAAUGUUUGGUAGCUCUCUGGAAAUAUUCACAAAAAACUAGUAAGAGUGGUUCCUUCCCCAGGGAGGAAAAGGGGAAAUACAUAAAUAAAUUUAAUCCAUAAACAAGAAAUAAAUCACACUUUUGAAGGCAUGACCUUUCCCCAGCGUGGCUUCUUUCAGAGUCUUCUUCCAACGUGACCUUAGCUCUCAGAGUUCCCUAAGGGUAGAAGUGCACGGGGGAUAAAGAUAUUAAGUGACAAAACCAGCAGGGGUGGCGGGAGGAGGUGAAGCGGCAGGAAGCGACGUGGGGCAAGAGCGUUCCUGGCGAGGGUGGAGGGCAGCGCCAGGACAGAGCCGUCCAGAGCCCCGUGCAAGAAGCAGGCUGGUGUGCAGGAAGGAUGAGAAGGCAGAUGUGGCCGGAAGAGAGUGUGCUGGUUGGUUAGGCAGACAAGGUAAAGGCUGGUCUGUACUCAGUUUUCACUCCGAGAUGCUGAGACCUUGGUAGGUUCUCCCUACAGAACCCCUGGGAGCUGCCCACAGGAUCCGAAGGGUGGGUCGUUUUUAAAUUCUGGGCAUUUAGCCUUUUUUCCAGCUGUCCUGAGGGCAACCUAUUGACAUCAGCAAAUCCUACACUCCCUCUAGCUAAUCUUUUUCUCCUGUUCUCUUUUCUCCUUUUUUUCCCCUGACUUUCCCUCCCUGUGAGAGUCCCUGGUCCCAAGGCCUGGCCCACAAUUCAAAGACUACCAAGUAAAUAGUGUAUGAAAUCCUUUAAUCUCCCUCCGAGCUACCCUGGUCUCGGCUACACCGACAAAUCAAGAUAAGCAUAAUCUUCAGCUUGGCCGACACUAGGCAGCCAUUGAACAGCCAGCCCCACACUCCACGCCUGUGACUGGGGUGGGGUCUAUACCUCAAACAAACCAGAUUUAUUUUUAUGUCUAUGGAGGUUCCUAGGCUAGGGAAAAGGCAAGAAAAAAAAAAAAAAAAAAAAAAAACUGAAAGAAAAACAAAAGACACAUGUACCCCAAUGUUCACUGUAGCGCUAUUUUCAACAGCCAAGACAUGGAAGCAACCUAAAUGUCCAUCAACAGAGGAGUGGCUAAAGAGGAUAUGGUAAUAUAUAUACAAUGAAAUAUUACUCAGCCAUAAAAAGGAAUGAAAUAAUGGCAUUUGCAGCAACAUGGAUGAACCUAGAAAUUAUCAUGCUAAGUAAAGUUAGUCGGACAGAGAGACACAAACAUCAUAUGAUGUCACUUCUACGU